UUCCAGACGGGUUGUUAGGACUUCGC
rnacentral:piRNA from 1 species